rnacentral:rRNA from 1 species
UCGAGAAUUUUUCACAAUGGGGGAAACCCUGAUGGAGCGACGCCGCGUGGAGGAUGAAGGUUUUCGGAUUGUAAACUCCUGUCAUGAGAGAACAAAACCCGCAAGGGCUUGAUAGUAUCUCAAGAGGAAGGGACGGCUAACUCUGUGCCAGCAGCCGCGGUAAUACAGAGGUCCCAAGCGUUGUUCGGAUUCACUGGGCGUAAAGGGUGCGUAGGUGGCGGGGCAAGUUGCGUGUUAAAUCUCAAGGCUCAACCUUGAAACCGCUCGCAAUACUGCUCUGCUGGAGGACUGUAGAGGAGACUGGAAUUCACGGUGUAGCAGUGAAAUGCGUAGAUAUCGUGAGGAAGACCAGUGGCGAAGGCGAGUCUCUGGGCAGUUCCUGACACUGAGGCACGAAGGCCAGGGGAGCAAACGGGAUUAGAUACCCCCGUAGUCC